GAUGAACGCUGGCGGCGUGCCUAAUACAUGCAAGUCGAGCGAAGCGGGGACGGGUGAGUAACACGUGGAUAACCUCCUAUAAGACUGGGAUAACUUCGGGAAACCGGAGCUAAACCGGAUACUUAUAGAUGGAUCCGCGCUGCAUUAGCUAGUUGGUAAGGUAACGGCUUACCAAGGCAACGAUGCAUAGCCGACCUGAGAGGGUGAUCCUGCACACUGGAACUGUGACACGGUCCAUAAUCCUACAGGUGGCAGCAAUAGGGAAUCAUCCGCGAUGGGCGAGAACCUGACGGACCAACUGCACGUGGGUGAUGAAGGUCUUCGGAUCGUAAAACGAUGUUAUGAGGGAAGCGGUACCUAAUCAGAAAGCCACGGCUGACGACGUGCCAGAGGCCGCGGUAAUAC
rnacentral:rRNA from 1 species